rnacentral:rRNA from 1 species
CUGCAGCCCGAGUGGUGAUCGAUUUUAUUGAGCCUAAAGCGUCCGUAGCCGGACUAGUAAACCCUUGGGUAAAUUGGGCAGCUUAACUGUCCAAAUUCCGAGGGGACUGCUAGUCUUGGGACCGGGAGAGGUCAGAGGUACUCAAGGGGUAGGGGCUAAAUCCUGUAAUCCUUUGGGGACCACCAGUGGCGAAGGCGUCUGACUAGAACGGAUCCGACGGUAAGGGACGAAACGCUGGGGCGCGAACCGGAUUAGAUACCCGCGUAGUCC